rfam:Coccidioides immitis H538.4 supercont1.43 genomic scaffold, whole genome shotgun sequence.
ACUGACUUUCUUCACAGCAUUUCUUCAGUAGACGUCCCACUCUGUAUUUCUUAUUACAGGGGUAAACUUCAAUCCUGCUGAUGACCACCAUGUCCUCGAUGCCCUAAAGUGAAGCCGUUAUACUCCCGCCUCGACCCUGCUCGAGAUCGCCCUCGCGUUUUCUGGAUACCCUCUGUGGCUUCCGAAGUGCGGGCGGAUGCAUCUCGGGCUACUUGGGUCUAGGGAGUGGUGAUGAUCUUGACCUAGUGGAUGUGCCUUUUGACUUCGGUCGGUCUCCCUAGGUGGGCGUUGAGGAGGUCUGAAGGAU